rnacentral:rRNA from 1 species
AUGGCCGACCGCCUCGCCCGCCGUGGCCUGCAACACCCCGCACGAUGCCCCCUCUGCGACCAGGCCCCCGAGACCAUGCACCACCUCACCCUUGCCUGCCCCUUCGCCGGGCAGAUCUGGCACGAGGUGCUGCACUGGCUCAGACUCUCCUGCGCCCCGCCCGACAGCGAGACUUCCCUCAACGACUGGUGGCGCACGGCGCGACAGGACACCCCAAAGCCCAUGCGCAAGGGCCUCGCCUCCACGACCCUCCUCGUCCCAUGGAUGAAACUGCGUCUUCAACAGUGGCCGGCCCUCGACGACCGACCUGCUCACAAAGAUCAAAGACCCGCCCUCUGGGCCAGAGCCGACGCCCUAGGGCUUCGUGCCAUUUUACCGCAAACAUGGGACGUGCACUGA